rnacentral:rRNA from 1 species
GAGUUUGAUCCUGGCUCAGAACGAACGCUGGCGGCAUGCCUAACACAUGCAAGUCGAACGAACCCUUCGGGGUGAGUGGUGCACGGGUGCGUAACGCGUGGGAACCUGCCUUUAGGUUCGGAAUAACUCAGAGAAAUUUGAGCUAAUACCGGAUAAUGUCUUCGGACCAAAGAUUUAUCGCCUUUAGAUGGGCCCGCGUUAGAUUAGAUAGUCGGUGGGGUAAUGGCCUACCAAGUCGACGAUCUAUAGCUGGUCUGAGAGGAUGAUCAGCCACACUGGGACUGAGACACGGCCCAGACUCCUACGGGAGGCAGCAGUGGGGAAUAUUGGACAAUGGGCGAAAGCCUGAUCCAGCAAUGCCGCGUGAGUGAUGAAGGCCUUAGGGUUGUAAAGCUCUUUUACUAGGGAUGAUAAUGACAGUACCUAGAGAAUAAGCUCCGGCUAACUCCGUGCCAGCAGCCGCGGUAAUACGGAGGGAGCUAGCGUUGUUCGGAAUUACUGGGCGUAAAGAGAACGUAGGCGGCUAUCCAAGUCAGGGGUGAAAUCCCGGGGCUCAACCCCGGAACUGCCCUUGAAACUAGGUAGCUAGAAUUCUGGAGAGGUUAGUGGAAUUCCGAGUGUAGAGGUGAAAUUCGUAGAUAUUCGGAAGAACACCAGUGGCGAAGGCGACUGACUGGACAGAUAUUGACGCUGAGGUUCGAAAGCGUGGGGAGCAAACAGGAUUAGA